GACAAAAAACCAUAUGAAAGAUAAUGUAAUUGAAUUAUUUUAGUAUCAAAUUGCAUCGAAUAAUAUUAUUUUUCAUUAUUUCAAGAAAUGUUUACACAUUUUUUUCGGUUUUUUUUUAUCGACGCAUUUUUGACAGCCGAUUCCCCAUUUUUGGGGGGUCAAUUCCCCACUUUUGUCAGCCAAUUUCCCCAUUUUUGACAACCAAAUUUUACCAUUUUUGACAACCAAAUGCACCAUUUUUGACAACCAAACACACCAUUUUUGACAGCCAAUUCCCCAUUUUUGACAACCAAACGCACGAUUUUUGACAGCCAAUUCCCUAUUUUUGGGGGGCCAAUUCCCCAUUCUUAUACACCAAAACCAUUUUACCUUUUGAUAUGGUCGGGGUCGGGUCGUUUUUUCAACCUUUAAACAAUGUAAUGAUGCCUAGUUUUGGACCAAAAUUAACAAAACCGGUCGGGGAACAACAAUCCGUUCAGAUAGUGAGAUUUGGGCCACCCUAGUCUACCCCCUAAGAAAUAUGUUUUAUUUUCAUUUCAUUCAUUUAUUCAUCCUAAUUGUUUGAAAAUUCACCAGUGACAAGUGUUUGAUGGCAAAUGACGAUAACCACCAAUUUUUGAUCGAUAUUGGUUGAGCGAAAAUAUGUUUAUAUUAACUUAUACCAUGAAAAGAGAAGAAAAAUGUUCAUUGCAAUAAAAUGUGGCUUGCAAACAAUACUUCGACCCGAGCAUGCAGCAGUUGUGACGCAAAUAUUGUUUGAGUGCAGUCUUCAAAUGACGAAAGUUGCCUCAUUGGCCUCACUGAAUGAAGCAAGGUGAAUGAAGUACUCGAUAAUGAAGAUCGUCACCAAACCAGAGCGAAAAUGAAACGAAAAUGUGCAUUCAAAGGCAGACAAUUUUGUGGGCAAAAAAUACGUUAUUGGCAUCGAUCCCAAUGAAAAAACGUGUUUGGCAAUAAUGCAUCCUGAAAACAUCUGUUGAGUAAAACAUCACAAUACCCAAGCUAUUCUACUGGGAAACUAGGCAGAAACGGAGGGAAAAAGUUGGCUGAAUGGUCUGAUAUCGAAGAAAAGAAUCAUCUGAAGACAUACCCAUUCGGUCCACCAUCACCGCGUAAUUCAACAUGGCAAUGGUAAAUUGAGUAUCGCAUCAAAAUGCUACGAAAAGGAAUGUCAGCAUAUGCACCGCGUAAAUAUUCACGACUGGAUUUUGAUCAUUACAUGAAGUCGAACGAAGUCAAUGAUAACAUGCCGUCAAUGAUUAUAUUUGGUGCAUCGGAGAUGCCAUCCAAUCGGCCAUUUGGUUUGAAGAGACAGAAAAGAUGUCCAGGAUCGCGGAAAUUUUUUGGUGAGCGUCAAGAAACUUGGCCAUUCAGUGGUGAAAAUGGAAGAUGAAUAGGGAACAUCAAAAACAUGCGCGAAUUGUUAAGAACAAUUUCCAGUGAACGCGAAAUCGCAUCGAUUUAAAGUGUGCUAGGGUUGCAAAGCGAAACCGAUUGCUGGACUACCGGACUCAGUCACUAGUCUACCACAUAAAAUUGUGGCAACGUUUAGGUUUGUAAAAAGGGCAGAAGAAAAUUAAGCAUCGAAUUCGCAAUGGCAAUUAUCAGGAUGUUGGCGAAAUACUUCGGAAUGAGCGUUUAAUGUCAAAGGUUAAAGUUACCAACAAAAAUUGGCCAUUGAAUGUUCAGUAUGAAGAUGCAUUAUGCUCAAGGGUAUGAAUCAAUUGAAUCUAUUCAUUGUUUAAUGUUUUUGCUUCUAAUUACACAGGACUUUGUCGGAUGUUUGGCGUACUAGUGCCUGAUUUGUUGAGAGGACCACCAAAUGCAAACAAUGGCAACUGACAAACAGCAGCAUUCAAUCCAAAAAUUGUUUAAAAUGAAUAUUAUAACGAUUAGUUGCAUGGCUAGACUUGCGUUUUGUUGCCGAAGUACGAAGGGACUUAUUGAAUGGUGUAUUGAUGUUGAUUCAUAGUCAACUUUCUAACUGAAUUUUGUUUUUUUCUUUCUUUUGCAACGUUGAAAAUGACGGAAAUGACGCUCAAACAUGGGACCAAAUUCUAC